rnacentral:tRNA from 1 species
GGUGGCUCAGUGGUAGAGCGCUUGUCUUGCAUGCAUGAGGUCCUGAGUUCGAUUCCUCAGCACCA